UACGUAGGGGGCAAGCGUUGUCCGGAAUCAUUGGGCGUAAAGAGCGCGUAGGCGGCCCGGUAAGUCCGCCGUGAAAGUCAAGGGCUCAACCCUGGGAUGCCGGUGGAAACUGUCGGGCUAGAGUCCGGAAGAGGCGAGUGGAAUUCCUGGUGUAGCGGUGAGAUGCGCAGAUAUCAGGAGGAACACCGAUGGCGAAGGCAGCUCGCUGGGACGGUACUGACGCUGAGGUGCGAAAGCGUGGGGAGCAAACAGG
rnacentral:rRNA from 1 species